rnacentral:rRNA from 1 species
GACGAACGCUGGCGGCGUGCUUAACACAUGCAAGUCGAACGGAAAGGCCCUGCUUUUGUGGGGUGCUCGAGUGGCGAACGGGUGAGUAACACGUGAGUAACCUGCCCUUGACUUUGGGAUAACUUCAGGAAACUGGGGCUAAUACCGGAUAGGAGCUCCUGCUGCAUGGUGGGGGUUGGAAAGUUUCGGCGGUUGGGGAUGGACUCGCGGCUUAUCAGCUUGUUGGUGGGGUAGUGGCUUACCAAGGCUUUGACGGGUUGCCGGCCUGAGAGGGUGACCGGCAACAUUGGGACGGGGAACCGGCCAAGACCCCAACGGGGGGCAGGAGGGGGGAAUAUUGCAAAAGGGGGGGAACCCUGAUGCACCAACGCCGGGGGGGGGAUGAGGGCCUUGGGGUGGUAAACCGCUUCCGCCUGGGACGAAGGGGGGGGGGCGGUAAUGGGUAAAGAAGCACCGGCAAAUUACGU